GGACUAAUGGCUUUUCAUCACCUGUUUUUAUAGCACUUUUGAACACCAUGAGGAAAGAGUGAGUUAUUGGAAUAAGUCUUAGCAGUGUGUGGACAGAUAAGCUUAUAUUUGGACCAGGGACAACACUCACAGUUCUGCCAAACAUUUCAAAAUCUUCUGACCCUCAAGUGAUUGUGAUGAAAUCAAAGAAACUGGAAGAAGGCAACAGCACUGGCAAAGCAGCUUGUUUGGCAAGGAACUUCCCGACAAAGAACAUCAGCUUGGAGAUGCCCUCUCAGGAGGUCGUCUAUGAACAGAGCACAUCCAUUUUGACAUCCGAGGGGUUGUACAAUGCAAUUAAAGUGGCCAGGGUGACAAAAGACAUGGAGGUGACCUGCACGGCCAAAUUCGACAACCGCGUGAUAACAGCACAGCCAGAAGAGGAGGCUGAAGAACCAGUAACAGGGUUUGGAGAACCAAACAGAACCAGAACAGUGUCAGGGGCCAGUGACAGGGUUUGCAACAGCACAGCCCCCUCAGCACAAGACCCUGAAGAGCAGAGAGUGAACAUGCUGUCCAUGGCUGUGCUGGGUUUGAGAGUCCUGCUGGCAAAAGGCAUCGCCUUCAAUAUCCUCAUGAGUAUCAAGUUGUUUCUUUUCUGAGACAUGGGGAAUGAACCCGAAGAAGAGCAGGAAAGAAUGUGAACCAGCAGAAGAAGGGCGUGGAACAAGCAGGGGCAGAGCUGCAGACAGACACCACCCAGGACACAAGGCAGCNCACCU